rnacentral:tRNA from 1 species
GGUUUGUAGCUUAGUGGUAGAGUGCUUGCCUCACACGUGUGAGGCCCUGGGUUUGAUUCUCAGUACCA